rnacentral:rRNA from 1 species
AUGGAGCACUGGAUAAUAGUAGUAAUUAUCCACAAGACCAGGACUGUCAUCGACGCCACCACGGUGCUAAACAACACCACCUCCCUGCACGCGUCCAUCAAUACACCUCCACCGCCAAGACCCUGCCGCGCCACGCCGCCGAGAUCCAUCGUCUUCGAUGCAGUAAAUGAAACACUGGUCCACCACUUGUCUCCCCCAUCCAGCAACCGAUCCAAAAACAAUGCCCCCAUGAGGGAGAGCACCGCCUCCAGCGCCGCCAUCGUCCGAACCGGGAAACUGGGUCUAUGUUCUCACCCGGAGCAGUGCAAGCAAGUCGACAGUAGCUGA